rnacentral:rRNA from 1 species
UACAGAGGGGGCAAGCGUUGUUCGGAAUUACUGGGCGUAAAGGGCUCGUAGGUGGCCAACUAAGUCAGACGUGAAAUCUCUCAGCUUAACUGGGGAACUGCGUCUGAUACUGGAUGGCUUGAGUUUGGGAGAGGGACGCGGAAUUCCAGGUGUAGCGGUGAAAUGCGUAGAUAUCUGGAGGAACACCGGUGGCGAAGGCGGCGUCCUGGACCAACACUGACACUGAGGUGCGAAAGCGUGGGGAGCAAACAGG